GCAGCUUCCAGGGCAAUGGUAAUUUCCAGGACUGCCCUGGAAAAAUUCUAUGUAUAAUGGUAUAUUCCAGGACAAACAUAAAAUAUAUAGAAUUUUUUUCAAACACUCUAAUCUUCGAAGGAUCUUCUUUUGUGACCAUUUUAAUUUUUAAUUGGCUUACAUUAAAGCUAAGAGAUUGUCCGCCGUUAACUGUAAAGUUUCUAUAAUAAGAGUUAAGAUUCCCUUAAUCAACCAAUCAGCGCGAAACAAUUCGCCGACCGGGUUGCGUGGAUUGGUUAGGAUGUGAUUUGUGGAUUCUCAAUACUCAAUCGUAACCAUAACCACUACCAAGUCCGUAAAUCGUAAUACGGUCUUAAAUAUAUUUCAAUGUAAAAACCAAUUUAUACUGUACAUAACACACUAUACUCAUUGGGCGCGUUCCACUUCACGACCGCAACGCUCACGGUAUCAUUUCAUCUUUGUUGUUCACCGAAAGUUAAACGAAGACAGAUGAUGCUCGCGAGCGUUGCGGUCGUUAAGUGGAACGCGCCCAUUGUCAUCUCACCGUCAUUACAUACAUUAACGCACUAUCAAAUAUUCUUCUAAGAAUUUCAAGUAUAUUAUGUAUCAAUUCACAUUAUUUGCUUUAUUUAAAAUCUGUAGACAAAUAUUGUAUAAUCUUAUGUAUAAUGUGAAUUAAUCUUAAUUUCCUAAAAUAUACUGUAGCUUAAGUCUUAUUAUAGAAACUUUGGUUGCGUUCAGUAGAGAAAUUGCUCAAUUAUCCUCUUGUCAACAUUCGACGUUGAUUUGUUGGCUCUAAAAGUAAGAGCCAAUCACGUUCAAUUGCUACUGAGCGGUUUCUCUACUGAACGCAGUAAUACAUUUGUUAUCGAAAACGACACGUGCUGUAGGUAUAUUUCAGGUUAUGUAGUCUUGAAUUGCGCGGUAACCAGUAGUUUUGGUGAAAAUACUGUACAUCGUUUUCCAUAUUUUUAGCUUUUAUAUAUCAUGUUUUCCUUACUUAAAAUUAAACAUACUAAACAAUUAAUCGUUGUGAAAUCUAGUAAUGUAACUCGUAAAAGAAAGAAAGAUUAUUGGAUAAAACUAGAAAAAACAAAACGUUGCGUUGGAAUAUUCCUUUGUAAGUCGGAUGAAAGACAUACCCUUUUAGAAAUAAAAAAAAAUAUAGAUACUAGUUCACCAAAGAUUAUAAUAAAGGAUAUUAACAAAUUGUCGAAUAUUCAGUAUACAAAUAAUGAAACUAUAUAAUAAAGUUAUAAAGUUAUGUCUAAUCAUUCAGAAAUAACUGAAUCAGUACAAAGUACCCCUGAUACUAAUAUUAAAAAGCCGAUGUAUGGGCAGUUAGGUAUGUGAUCUAAUAAAUAUUUACUAAAUAUGUUACCAAGGCUACAAAGAUUAUAUUUUUUAUGUAGUUUAUAAUUAAAACUCAGUAAAAUUUAAUCUUAAUUAUUUUUAGAUGAAGAAAAUGAUGAAAACAUAAAUCCACAUUUGACAAAAAUUGCGUUAAAGCACAAUGCUAAAAUAUUAAGAUUUCAGUGUUCAAAUAGUAAAACUAACAAUGAGUGUAAGAACACUAAAGAAUUUGAUCCUUUAGAUAUAGAUAGUUCAAUAAUACAAGAUAACAAUAUCAUUAAUUAUAAAAAACCAAUAUACAAUAAUCAAUUUG